GAGAUAACUCCUACGGGAGGCAGCAGUGGGGAAUUUUGGACAAUGGGGGCAACCCUGAUCCAGCAAUGCCGCGUGAGUGAAGAAGGCCUUCGGGUUGUAAAGCUCUUUUGUCAGGGAAGAAACGGUAGUAGCUAAUAUCUAUUGCUAAUGACGGUACCUGAAGAAUAAGCACCGGCUAACUACGUGCCAGCAGCCGCGGUAAUACGUAGGGUGCAAGCGUUAAUCGGAAUUACUGGGCGUAAAGCGUGCGCAGGCGGUUGUGUAAGUCAGAUGUGAAAUCCCCGGGCUCAACCUGGGAAUUGCAUUUGAGACUGCACAGAUAGAGUGUGUCAGAGGGGGGUAUAAUUCGCCGUGUAGAAGUGAAAUGCGUAGAUAUGUGGAGGAAUACCGAUGGCGAAGGCAGCCCCCUGGGAUAACACUGACGCUCAUGCACGAAAGCGUGUGGAGCAAACAGGAUUAGAAACCCUAGUAGUCCUCCACU
rnacentral:rRNA from 1 species